rnacentral:rRNA from 1 species
GACGAACGCUGGCGGCGUGCUUAACACAUGCAAGUCGAACGGAAAGGCCCUGCUUUUGUGGGGUGCUCGAGUGGCGAACGGGUGAGUAACACGUGAGUAACCUGCCCUUGACUUUGGGAUAACUUCAGGAAACUGGGGCUAAUACCGGAUAGGAGCUCCUGCUGCAUGGUGGGGGUUGGAAAGUUUCGGCGGUUGGGGAUGGACUCGCGGCUUAUCAGCUUGUUGGUGGGGUAGUGGCUUACCAAGGCUUUGACAGGUAGCCGGCCUGAGAGGGUGACCGGCCACAUUGGGACUGCGGUACGGCCCAGACUCCUACGGGAGGCAGCAGUGGGGAAUAUUGCACAAUGGGCGGAAGCCUGAUGCAGCAACGCCGCGUGCGGGAUGACGGCCUUCGGGUUGUAAACCGCUUUCGCCUGUGACGAAGCGUGAGUGACGGUAAUGGGUAAAGAAGCACCGGCUAACUACGUG